CAAUACAUUUUUAUUUGUAUUUGACAGAACCUGGGCUUAACAAGGGUCUGAACUUGGACCUGUUGUAGACGAAAUUCACCCUCUCCAGAACCCGUUGGAUUAGCGCCAUGAGACGGGUUGAGAGACAGAAAACCCCGAACUACUAACGACCUACAUACAGGAAUAGACAAGAGUCCUUCAAAAGUGCAUGGACCACAGAACAACGCCCCCCCCC